rnacentral:rRNA from 1 species
GAUUCGUCACACUAUCAUUAACUGAAUCCAUAGGUUAAUGAGGCGAACCGGGGGAACUGAAACAUCUAAGUACCCCGAGGAAAAGAAAUCAACCGAGAUUCCCCCAGUAGCGGCGAGCGAACGGGGAGGAGCCCAGAGCCUGAAUCAGCAUGUGUGUUAGUGGAAGCGUCUGGAAAGGCGCGCGAUACAGGGUGACAGCCCCGUACACAAAAGCGCAUGUGCUGUGAGCUCGAUGAGUAGGGCGGGACACGUGGUAUCCUGUCUGAAUAUGGGGGGACCAUCCUCCAAGGCUAAAUACUCCUGACUGACCGAUAGUGAACCAGUACCGUGAGGGAAAGGCGAAAAGAACCCCGGCGAGGGGAGUGAAAAAGAACCUGAAACCGUGUACGUACAAGCAGUGGGAGCCCCACCACUAAGCCAGUGGUGAACUCCACAUCCGCAUCCUUUGCUGAGGAUACGGUUAACGGAGCGAAAGCGACGUUCAACCGCAAAACAAGCAGAGGGGGCUUAGUGGUGGGGUGACUGCGUACCUUUUGUAUAAUGGGUCAGCGACUUAUAUUCUGUAGCAAGGUUAACCGUAUAGGGGAGCCGGAGGGAAACCGAGUCUUAAUUGGGCGUUAAGUUGCAGGGUAUAGACCCGAAACCCGGUGAUCUAGCCAUGGGCAGGUUGAAGGUUGGGUAACACUAACUGGAGGACCGAACCGACUAAUGUUGAAAAAUUAGCGGAUGACCUGUGGCUGGGGGUGAAAGGCCAAUCAAACCGGGAGAUAGCUGGUUCUCCCCGAAAGCUAUUUAGGUAGCGCCUCGUGAAUUCAUCUCCGGGGGUAGAGCACUGUUUCGGCUAGGGGGCCAUCCCGGCUUACCAACCCGAUGCAAACUGCGAAUACCGGAGAAUGUUAUCACGGGAGACACACGGCGGGUGCUAACGUCCGUCGUGAAGAGGGAAACAACCCAGACCGCCAGCUAAGGUCCCAAAGUCAUGGUUAAGUGGGAAACGAUGUGGGAAGGCCCAGACAGCCAGGAUGUUGGCUUAGAAGCAGCCAUCAUUUAAAGAAAGCGUAAUAGCUCACUGGUCGAGUCGGCCUGCGCGGAAGAUGUAACGGGGCUAAACCAUGCACCGAAGCUGCGGCAGCGAACGUAUCACCCAAGACAACUUUACGGAGUUGACGAUUGACGGAGCGAAGCGACGUCAAAGCGUUCAUUAAAGUCGAGUUGGCUUAGGGAUACGUUCGUUGGGUAGGGGAGCGUUCUGUAAGCCUGUGAAGGUGUGUCGUGAGGCAUGCUGGAGGUAUCAGAAGUGCGAAUGCUGACAUAAGUAACGAUAAAGCGGGUGAAAAGCCCGCUCGCCGGAAGACCAAGGGUUCCUGUCCAACGUUAAUCGGGGCAGGGUGAGUCGACCCCUAAGGCGAGGCCGAAAGGCGUAGUCGAUGGGAAACGGGUUAAUAUUCCCGUACUUGGUGUUACUGCGAAGGGGGGACGGAGAAGGCUAUGUUGGCCGGGCGACGGUUGUCCCGGUUUAAGCGUGUAGGUGUGUGUUCCAGGUAAAUCCGGUUCACUUUAACACUGAGGCGUGACGAC